rnacentral:rRNA from 1 species
GACAGAGGUGCCAAGCGUUAGGCGGAAUCACUGGGCUUAAAGCGUGUGUAGGCGGACUUGUAAGUACCUUGUGAAAUCCCACGGCUCACCCGUGGAACUGCUGGGUAUACUGCGAGUCUUGAGCCACUUAGGGGCUGUCGGAACAGGCGGUGGAGCGGUGAAAUGCGUAGAUAUCGCCUGGAACGCCAAAGGUGAAAACAGACAGCUGGGAGUGUGCUGACACUGAGACACGAAAGCCAGGGGAGCGAACGGG